rnacentral:rRNA from 1 species
UACAGAGGGUGCAAGCGUUGUUCGGAAUUACUGGGCGUAAAGGGCGCGCAGGCGGCUCAUUUUGUCAGGCGUGAAAGCCCCGGGCUUAACCUGGGAACUGCGUUUGAUACGGAUGGGCUAGAGUUCGGGAGAGGAGCGUGGAAUUCCCAGUGUAGAGGUGAAAUUCGUAGAUAUUGGGAAGAACACCGGUGGCGAAGGCGGCGCUCUGGACCGAGACUGACGCUGAGGCGCGAAAGCGUGGGGAGCAAACAGG